CAGCCGCCGCGGUAAUACGUAGGGUGCAAGCGUUAAUCGGAAUUACUGGGCGUAAAGCGUGCGCAGGCGGUUUGUUAAGACGGGUGUGAAAUCCCCGGGCUUAACCUGGGAACUGCAUUUGUGACUGGCAAGCUAGAGUAUGGCAGAGGGGGGUGGAAUUCCGCGUGUAGCAGUGAAAUGCGUAGAUAUUGGGAAGAACACCGGUGGCGAAGGCGGCAACCUGGUCCAUGACUGACGCUGAGGCGCGAAAGCGUGGGGAGCAAACAGGAUUAGAUACCCCCGUAGUCCCUGUCUCUUAUAC
rnacentral:rRNA from 1 species